rnacentral:rRNA from 1 species
GGUAGUCCACGCUGUAAACGAUGUCGAUUUAGAGGUUGUGGUCUUGAACCGUGGCUUCUGGAGCUAACGCGUUAAAUCGACCGCCUGGGGAGUACGGCCGCAAGGUUAAAACUCAAAUGAAUUGACGGGGGCCCGCACAAGCGGUGGAGCAUGUGGUUUAAUUCGAUGCAACGCGAAGAACCUUACCUACUCUUGACAUCCAGCGAAUCCUUUAGAGAUAGAGGAGUGCCUUCGGGAACGCUGAGACAGGUGCUGCAUGGCUGUCGUCAG